UAAAGUCCUUCACUUCGCUAAACCCUCCGCCAACCAUCUGCUGCAGAUUAUCUCCCCAGGGAAACAGUACAUCCGGUUCCAACUUCAGCUCAAAAAAAUGUCAGGGGAAGAAGUUGCCGUUGCUCAACCGAGGCAGCGCCCGCUCUGGGU